rnacentral:rRNA from 1 species
CCUACGGGUGGCUGCAGUGGGGAAUAUUGGGCAAUGGGCGCAAGCCUGACCCAGCAACGCCGCGUGAAGGAAGAAGGCUUUCGGGUUGUAAACUUCUUUUCUCAGGGACGAAGCAAGUGACGGUACCUGCGGAAUAAGCCACGGCUAACUACGUGCCAGCAGCCGCGGUAAUACGGAGGGGGCAAGCGUUAUCCGGAUUUACUGGGUGUAAGGGGCGUGUAGGCGGGAAAGCAAGUCAGAUGUGAAAACCCUGGGCUCAACCUGUGGCCUGCAUUUGAAACUGUUUGUCUUGAGUACUGGAGAGGCAGACGGAAUUCCUAGUGUAGCGGUGAAAUGCGUAGAUAUUAGGAGGAACACCAGUGGCGAAGGCGGUCUGCUGGACAGCAACUGACGCUGAGGCGCGAAAGCGUGGGGAGCAAACAUGAUUAGAUACCCCUGUAGUC